UGAGAGCUUUAAGUGUAAAGGGCCAUGAU
rnacentral:piRNA from 1 species